UAAACUUUUCCUAACUUGGACCUUCCAGUUCUUAAAAAUUCUUUGUUUGAGGUCUAUCCUCAGAUGAUUUUAUUACUUGUUGGCAUGGAGGCUUCAAAGCCGAAGGCAAACCGGUUUCCUCAAGUGCGCAUGUUUCCCUCUGGGCCUAUUAGCGACCGUUUGUAGUGGAACGGAAGCAGGUGUUGCUGACUCGCGUCUCUGCCAGUAGAGACCUUAGCCUGAGUUAUCUGACCUGUGAAAAGUCAGACCCCCUUCCACAGCCUCCGAUAUUUUGUGGGGAGAAAGUGUGAGAGGGAAUGUGGGAUUGGGCUCAGGAUUCCUUGGGCUCAGUCAGACUCUGGGAACAAGUGGAUGUGUGACCUGGAAUCACUUCAUUUUGCAGCCCUGUGCUGGCUAGUUUUAUGUCAACCUGACACAAGCUAGAGUCAUUAGUGAGGAAGGCGCCUCGACUGAGAAAAUGCCUUCUUAAAAUCAGGCUAUAGGCAAACCUAUGAGGCACUUUCUUAAUUAGUGAUUGGUGAGGAAUGACUCAGCCCCUUGUGGAUGGUUGCACCCCUUGGCUGGUGGUCCUGGCUUCUCAAGAGGGCAGGCUAAGGAAGUCACGUGGAGCAAGAUAGCAUGUAGCUCUCCUCCACUGCCUCUGCUUCAGUUGGAGUUCUGUCUCGAUUUCCUUCAAUGUAGAAGGGGACAAUGGAUGCUGUUCAGCUGGGGCCGAAGAACCAGCUGUGAUGAAGACAAGACCAGCAUCUCUGGAGUGGAGUCUUCUGGGGAGUGGUUCAUCCGAGUUAGCACACAGAAGCUGUGCUCCAGAGGCGGCCCAGGUUGUGCUGCCUUGCACUGGCAGCUGAAUUUGGUAGUUUAAAAGUCACUCAGGCGGUGCUGGUUUUGGAGGCAGGAAGGGGUCAGGGAGAGCAGCCGAGGCUUGGGACUGUGAGAGGCCAAGGGAGGCCAUUGGGGAAAUGAACAGCUUCAGUAGCAGGAUUGAAUAGGUCGUGCAGAGAAUUUGCAGCUUCGUACCAUGAAGAAAGUCCAGGAGAGGUUAUUGAUGAAAGUCCAGUUGCAGCAAGAGACCCCAGCAUUUUGGAGAUGUCCGGACCAUGGGUGACCUCCAAGGACAGCAUCAAUGGUAGAGAGGCCUUGACUUGAGCCUGGAAGACCAGCUGUGUGUGCUGCAGAGGGCAGAGCUGGAGAAGUGACCCAAGCCCUUCGGAGGAGCCCAGAGGAUCAUGAGGUCAGCGACUGGUGGCGUGGCCUCUGUGGAACAUUGCUGCAGAUGGCACGGAUGCUCUGCGGUAUUGCUACAGAGCUGGGGAAAACAGCGUGUUUGGGCCGGAGAAAGUCUCCCUGAGAGCUGAUCUAUGCAAUGAUGACUUCAUCAGAGUUGUUAUUUCCGCUGCCUGUUUCUACAGCUUCAGGAUGUGAACUGGUGCAAGGGACUGUGGGUGACAGAAUGUGAAAGGGACAGAAGACAGAGACAGCUCAGAAUGGCACUACUUUGUAGAAACGGACACCCCUGGGCAUUUCAAGAAGCUGAGCUACAAGUCUGUCGGCGGUGGCACACACCUUUAAUCCCAGCACUUGGGGAGGAAGAAGCAGGCGGAUCUCUGAGUUUGAGGACAGCCUGGUCUACAGGAAGAAAUCUCACUGCACCAUGCUGCUGGUUGCCAGAGGCCAUAUUGAUGUCUGUGAUCUGUGCUGCUGCUGGAGGAAGUGUUGAUGUCUGUGGUGUGUUGCUGCUGGAUACCAUGUUGAUGUCUGCGGGUCUGUGAUCCGUGCUGCCACUAGAGGGCACUGUGAUGUCUGUGAUCUGCGCUGCCACCACAGACCAGGUUGAUGUGCGUGAUCAUCAUAACCAUCUUGAAGUCCACAGUCAGUGCUGCUGCUACCAGAAAUGAUGUGGCGACUCCAUGGUCCAUGCUGCCACUUGACUGCUAUGGGCAAUGAAGCUUCUUUUAUAGAGCUGUCUAUGACUGCAGACUCAUAGCUGAGAAUGACAGACACCCCCCUUCCACACCCACGCACAAAGAAACCAUCCAGUCGGGAAGCUACCACAGAGAGUGCUUAGAAACCAUGACAAAGAUGCUAAGUGUAGUUCUUCACAGUUGAUGACUUCUUGUGGGGGGGGCGGUGGGAGAAGGACUCAUUUUCCUUAGGGGCUGGCCACUGGGAGUUUGUCUGUACCCUGUGAGUAUAUGGGCAACACAAAUUAAACUUGGUGUUUUUUU